CCCAUCCAUGAUCAGUAGGCAAUUGUCCCAGGACAUGGGAGCGAGGAGAUCCAGAAUUUCUUAGAGUUUGGAGGAGGUCGAAUAUCGAGUUGAGGUGGAGAUUGUUAUGAUUUGACGUCUUGAGAUUCAGCCCACAUUGAGCCCACAGCGAAGUUCGCGAUGAAAAAUGAAGUCCAACGAGAUCAAGAUCACCUGAAAU
rnacentral:lncRNA from 1 species